rnacentral:tRNA from 1 species
AGGGGUAUAUAUUGUUAGCUGCUAACUAAUAAAUAGCGGUAUUUACCGUUUAUUCCUU